rnacentral:rRNA from 1 species
AUGAGAAUUAGCGGAUGGAAAGAAAAACUCUUAUCCACCGGAGGCAAGGAAGUUAUUCUCAAGUCUGUUGUUCAAGCUAUACCAACUUAUGCUAUGUCGGUCUUUAAAAUUAAAAAUUGUAAAGGAAUAACUGACGAGAUGUUGCAUUUUUGGUGGGAUGAUGACGACAACCAGAGAAGGAUGCAUUGGAUGGCGUGGUGGAAAAUGUGCAUCCCGAAAAGCCAAGGCGGAAUGGGCUUUCGUGACAUUCAUUGUUUUAAUUUGGCGAUGUUGGCUAAACAAGCUUGGUGUCUCCUUGAGAACCCAGAUUCCUUGUGUGCCACAAAAAGGAUCAUCCUUCACAUGGCAAAGUAUUAUGGUGGGGGUUAA